CGGCAACUGUGCAAGUUGCAUUUGGUCAUGGUCAAGCAUCAAAUUUCAUGAGAUCACAUGCCCCUCCCAAUAGCAGUGCAGCAGAUUU